ACCAAUAGUUGUGUAAACAAAACUAUUCGCCAGAGUACUACCGGCAAUAGCUUAAAACUCAAAGGACUUGGCGGUGCUUUACACCCUUCUAGAGGAGCCUGUUCUAUAAUCGAUAAACCCCGAUAAACCUCACCAUUCCUUGCUAAUACAGUCUAUAUACCGCCAUCUUCAGCAAACCCUAAAAAGGUACAAAAGUAAGCACAAUCAUAAUACAUAAAAACGUUAGGUCAAGGUGUAACCUAUGGAACGGAAAGAAAUGGGCUACAUUUUCUAAUCUAAGAAAAUCCAACACGAAAGUUAUUAUGAAAUUAAUAACCAAAGGAGGAUUUAGCAGUAAACUAAGAAUAGAGUGCUUAGUUGAAUUAGGCCAUGAAGCACGCACACACCGCCGGUCAC
rnacentral:rRNA from 1 species